GCUGUUUCUGGGUCAGCACCCCAACUUUGGCAUUGGAAAUAUGUCCAAGAUGACUAGCUAGCUAGCUCUUAAAUUUCUGGGGUUAUACCUAGUCUUCAGUUAGGAUGCAUGUGUCGAAAAGUCUUUUAAAAAUCUACUGACCUUGUCUUCCAGUUCCGUGUUGCUUAUAUAAUAAUAGUCACUAAUCUCCAAGUCCUUACAGUAUUUUCUUCAAACCCGUCAGUCUCCAAAGCAGCUAACGCACUUCUCCUCCUGCACCCUUCCUUGUUCAGCAAAGUCAUCUGCCAUGCUAGCCCAGCUAUCAAGAACGGGUAACUUGAGGAUGCGGUACGGA
rnacentral:lncRNA from 1 species